AACAAGGGGAGACAACC
rnacentral:misc_RNA from 1 species